rnacentral:rRNA from 1 species
CCUACGGGGGGCAGCAGUGAGGAAUAUUGGUCAAUGGACGAGAGUCUGAACCAGCCAAGUAGCGUGAAGGAUGACUGCCCUAUGGGUUGUAAACUUCUUUUAUAAAGGAAUAAAACGAGGCACGUGUGCCUUUUUGAAUGUACUUUAUGAAUACGGAUCGGCUAACUCCGUGCCAGCAGCCGCGGUAAUACGGAGGAUCCGAGCGUUAUCCGUAUUUAUUGGGUUUAAAGGGAGCGUAGAUGGGUUGUUAAGUCAGUUGUGAAAGUUUGCGGAUCAACCGCAAAAUUGCAAUUGAUACUGGCAGUCUUGAGUACAGUUGAGGUAGGCGGAAUUCGUGGUGUAGCGGUGAAAUGCUUAGAUAUCACGAAGAACCCCGAUUGCGAAGGCAGCUUACUAAACUGUGACUGACAUUGAUGCUCGAAAGUGUGGGUAUCAAACAGGAUUAGAUACCCUAGUAGUC